rnacentral:misc_RNA from 1 species
CUUGAGAGGCCCUGGGCUUGUUUUAACAUCUGGAAAAAAGGCUGUUUUUAUAGCAGCGGUUACCAGCCCAAACCUCAAGUUGUGCUUGCAGGGGAGGGAAAAGGGGGAAAGCGGGCAACCAGUUUCCCCAGCUUUUCCAGAAUCCUGUUACAAGGUCUCCCCACAAGUGAUUUCUCUGCCA